UGGAAUUUGGAGAAACUUUGUGGUAAUAGAGAUCUAAUUUUCGAAAUUCAGGGCUUCUAUGAGGCUGUUGUGUAAUUUGAGCUCCUUAGGGUUUCAUGUGACGCCUGAAAGCUUUAUAUACGCAGUCUUGUUAAAGGGGUCCAAUGGACUUCCUGGAAUCUGAAUUUUAGGUUUCAGGAACGGUAUCGUGAGAUUUGAAUAUUCUAUUUGGGUAUUUGGUUCUAUAGCGUUCUCUCAAAAAACAAAAAUUGAAUUUGCAAAUUUAAGUUUGGGGCAAUUUGAAGGAGUGAAGUGUGCAACUCAAUUAAAUUUGAGAAUUUUUUGUGAAAAGUUUCUCGAUGGCGGU
rnacentral:misc_RNA from 1 species